CUUGUUUCAUAGAAUCCAGAACAGUUAAGUUUGUAUUUUUUUGAUUUUUUUUACGAUUUUAUAUUAAUUUUACAAAAUCACAGUUUAAUGCGUCCUAGGCGCCAGGAUCUAAAUGUAAAUUUUUUUUACAUUUAGGUCCUGUCGCCCACUGGAUGGGCGACAUGCACCCAUUUUUGAAAAUUUCCCUAUUCUGCAUAUAUUUUUGAAAUUUUGUUUUUUUAAAAAAAUAUAAAAAUGAAAAAAUUUCUCAUUUCCUCUGGGCUAAUAAUAAAUAAAUAGCCCAUGGGCUCCGAGAGCGAGCGAUAGCGACGGCUCCCUUCGCUUCCGCAGUUCCGCCGAUCCCCCUGCUCGAGCGAUAGCGACGGCUCCCUUCGCUUCCGCAGUUCCGCCGAUCCCCCUGCUCCGCGCAAAGGAACGCGCACUCCUCACCGCCACCGCCGCGCCGCUGCAAAAAAGCGAAGCGGGGAAUGCGCGAUCGCCGCCGCGCCCCCACCAGCCUCCCACCCCUCCCCUCCUUCCCCUCCCGACACCGGGACUCUCCGGCGACCGGCUCGGCCUGAGCGAGCGAUUGACUUGGUGGGCCAUGAAGUGCCUUCAAAUACAUGAAAUAGGGUGGAGGUGGAUACCAUCAGAUCGCAUGCCAUAAAAUGCUCAAUAUUUUGUGAUUCAAAUUUUGUGCUCUCCGCCUCCCUGGUUAUUAUUGUGAUUCCUGUGACCAUGGUAAUAACUUUCACAAGUACUUGUACACUCUGGAGAGGUUGCUACUUACUUAGUUGUUGAUUUUCCAGGUAAUUGUUGAAAGCUUACCAGAAUAAAAAUAUGUCUACAAGCUUUGACAUCUGUUGCCUGUUGUCACAUAUGUGCGGGUGUGUGGCCACAGUUCAGCAAUUGAUGGAACUAUUUAUAGCCACAUCUCAUGCAUAUGGCCUGUCUCUAAAGGUGUAAAGCACUAAUGGUGGCUGUUUUGAGUGUUAAAGGUAAUGGAAUUUAUCUCGACAGCUGCAAGCCCAAGAAUGGAGUACUUUCAUGGUUACAAAGGCUUUCCAAGUAUGCUUUCAUAUGUUUAUCAUCAUGCUGAUGUCAUACAGAGGCAAGAACCUUUCAGCACGUUAUGAAGCAGCAAUAUAUCUUAUGCUUUGUCUUUGUGGUUUCCUGCUACGUGUAUAACAUUUUAUUUCCUUCUAGAAAAGGUUCUCUUAUGAUUUUUAAUUGGUUGCUUGGCCUAACCUUCAUAUUUUCAGCAAAGUAAAUUAGUAUCCAAAUGAGUUUUUUAUUUAAGCAAAAUUGAUCCUGAUUGUUAUGGAUUGUGUCAGAUGGAAUCACUGAACUAUUAUUUUUAUAUAUUCGUUAUUCCAUUGGACCACUAUACCUAUGAUACCCUAGGUUCUUACUCUUAUGUGGUUUGAUUAUUAUUUUUAUAUUGUUCCUCUUUUCUGUUAUUUUCCAUUCACUAAUGAUGAUGUUAGGUGGAUGCCAAUGUACUACUGUUGGCAGAGCUGAGACUGCAUAUUAAAAUAUAAACUAAAUGUCUUUUUCAUCUGGAAGAGCACUGCCGCUCGUCCUUUGCUAUAUUCAUGUCUUGCUAUUUCUACUUCUCUUUCAUACUCACACAGAUACAUCCAAUAAUGCUGCUCAUGCAUCCGAGCAGACACAGGAUAAACAAAGAUAAUUGAAGUGCAUAUGCCCACAAGUUGAAAGUUGAAACAUCAUGGAUCUUCGACUGAGGAACAGCUGUGGUGGAUGGUUUCUGUAUCAACUUACAUACAUAUCUAUGUAACUCACUGGGUCACUUCUCUCUGGGGAAAAAGCCUUGGUCAAUCAUCACAGUUGGGGUCCUGGGGAAAAAGAGGUGGCAUCAUAUGUUGGUAUUCCAGGACAGAGAGCAUCUUCCUUUUGUUUAUUUCCGGCAGCUAGCAGGCUGGCUAGCAAUUUCUAAUAUGAAAUUGUUACUUCUCCAGUCCAACAAGAACCACUUUGCAGGCGCUGAGUGUGUCCGUGAUCAGUUAAGAAUUGGGCUUCCCAUAAUUGCAAAGAUAAUCGUGCAGGUACAAGUAUAAUGAUUUGUCCAAUUGACUGUCGCUAGCGUCAAUGGAGGCACUGAUCAUUGCGUGAGGGAACUCAUCGCCUGUGAAUUUCUUUCAUGAAACUUCGAAUACAAAAAGGGUCCACUGGAGGAGACAUUUCUUGGAGUAUAGUAUUGGAAACGAGCUGGUCAAUGCACGCAUUAUUGUUGGUAUCCUUUUCUUGUCUGACGAACGAGCAUUUUUAUCCAUGAUUCCAUGAUUAGGAUUGUAAUGGCAUCCGUCUGUACCCAUGUGACGGUGGAUACUCGUCGCCAAUUAAACAAACGCGGCACGAAUCAAAAGGCUGUGAUUGAGCAAUUUUAUAGUAUGGUUUUCCAGCUUAUCAUUUUGUCCUUUGAUUCCCCAUGCAACGGAUCUCAUCCGUUCUGGAGCCUUGCAUUGUCUGUUGUGGGGUGGUGUAGUGUAUAUUAUUAUUUGUGUAGAUUGUAUAUAUUAUUUGCUCUGGAGAUUUUAUAUGCCGGUUAUCAAACUGUCAUUGUUUGCAUCCUGCAAAUUAAAUAGAUCCUCCUAGAAUCAAUGUCACCAUCUGCUUUUCCUCCAUGCAGGACUUGCAGUUGAGCCUGGAAAACGGACUGUCAGGUAACAACCUACCUCUUGGCUGCAACUGCCAGUGCUCUCUUCCUUUUUUUUUCCUUACUCAGGAUUAUGCAUCCGUGAUACCAGGAAGGAAGUUCACCCUGCCUCCAGGUGACUAUUAUGAUAUAUAGAAAGAGGCGGCAUUAUUUUGAGUGGUGGUGAGAGAAAGGAAGGCCGGCGGCGGCAGCAGCAUGGCAAUUAGCAAGGCUGGCACUAGAAGAUCACGGGGAAGGCAAGUUUGACAAAGGAGGCAUCUUUUCUGGGGUCCCCGGGAAGCAUAGGCCCACCCCUCCCUAAUCCCUACGGUACACACACUAUACUUGGGCACGUGGGCGCGAUGGAAUGGCUCGUGACCCAUUGAUUGGCAAAAGUUCGAGCUGCAAUUCGUGGACGGCCGGCCUGCUCGGGACGCCAUUGGAUCGCCCCGGCGACUUUUGCAGGCCUGUGAAGGGCUGUGUUUAGAUGGGGAAAAUGUGGGAGAAAAAAUCACAUCGGUCAUUGUAGCAUAUUGUAGUAUUUUUCGUUUGUUUGUGGUAAAUAUUGUCCUACCAUGACCUAACUAGGCUCAAAAGAUUCGUCUCGCAACGUACAUCAAAACUAUGCAAUUAGUUUUUUUAUUUAACUACAUUUAGUACUCCAUGUAUGUGUCAUUUGCUAUUUUUAAUGUUUCGAUGUGAUAGGGGAUGUGAUGGAAAGUUUGAAAAGUUUGGAAAUUUUGUGGGAUCUAAACACACCCAAGAAGAUCACACCCAGAUUUCCCAACUGACACCUAGCUCUGUCCUUUUACCUGCCUAACAUGGUACAAUUUGGCAUAAAGUAGCAUUAGCAUCUCACCGUUUUUUCUUCUUAAAAGAAAGGGCGAUUAACCGGCGACGUACGAUCGGUACGUGCCGUCGUGCCGCGCUCUCGGGCUCGUCCUUUUCCACGCAAAGAAAUUGGGCUGUGCUUGGACUUUGCUUUCAUGCGGCGCGCAUCACUUUCCCCAGCGUCUAGCAUGUACAUGUAGCGCGAAAACUGCCCGCGUCCGACCCGCAGUUUCUUUUUGGUUCCCCCCUGUUCUUUCACUCUGAUUAGUCGGGCAGCCAGCCACAAACGCCACGUCGGCAGAUGCCUGACCCCUAGCAAUAGCAUGUGUAGUGGCGAUGCACGUCUAAUCUGCACAAUCGCAAGCAGACGUAGGCCAUCAAGUUGAAAAAAACGGUGAUUUGAAAGAGCUAUACGAAAAUAAUAGAGAAAGCCAGGUACAUCCAAUAAGCAAUACUCUGUUUAAUUAGUCAGUGUGGCGAGUUGUGUGCCAUGUGCAUGCACUGGUGCAAGAAGAGUGUAUAAUACACUGGUAUUAAUAUAACAAGGAAUAAAAGGUACUAUGAACUUGUUUUUUUAGGUCAAACAUAAUGUCCAUAAACUUUGAUUUUGUCAAGCCUGCCGACAGAUUUUCUUCUCCACUACACGUAAUACAAACUCGGCAGGGUCCACCUGCCUAUUUAAGUUAGGAAACAUCACAAAUGGCUUUGUUUUCUAGUUCAUAAGCGUGGUGGCACUUAUUUAUAAAUCCAUGGAGAAGAAAGGGGGUAACAAUUAUCUGCUUAGUUCUAUUGAAUUGCAAUGUUACACUUCUCCAUAUACCUUCCAGAGAUCCAACUAAUCAAUAUGUAAAUCGUCGAUGUUUUAUACUUGCACAUGUUUGCCAACAUGUAUUAUUUACCACUAUUUUCAUUGAAUUCAUUAAAAGCUAGUGAAAAUUAUAAUGGAAGCAUACUUUUCCAGGUAAACAAACUUGCAUUUAUCAUACCAUUCUUCACAAUCUUAAUUGUAGAAGUAACAUUUUGUCGGCACAACGUUAACCCCCAAGCACCACUGAUUUGAUAUUAGAGGGGUAUUAGGAGGGGACAUUAUCAGGUUGGGCUCCAUUUGCACACUAACGCAUCACUUUCCUUGACCCCCUCUGCUAGCAGCAAAGCCUAAUAAUGCAGCCCCGGAUCCACUGCACUGCAUGGCCCCAAGCCCCCAAUGCAAGCCACUCCUCCCUCCCUCCCUCCCUUCUCUACACUAUCUAGCUCCCUACAUGCAUCUAUCUAGACGCCUAGUCCACACAAAUUGGCCAGCACGCCCAAUUAUCCACCCAAUUAAGUUGUGCGCUUAAUGUUAUGGUUGGGAUUACGCCGGGAGGCCAGUUGACGGGCAAUCGAUUUUAAUCAAGGGGGUCCAACCCAUAACACGACUGAUUAAUCGCCCCCCGUCCCUACGAUGUGAAGUCGCACCUGCCUCAAGGUCCCCCCUCCCUCUCCCUCCUUCCAACACCAUGGUGUAUGCAUGCGUGAAGUCGCUAGCUGCUGCUACAUAGAUCAGAGGUCGCAAUAGCUACGCACGCAUCCAUGUAGCAUGUAGGCAGGCAUGUACUGAGCCAUACUUGGCAUCGGCACUCAGGCACUGCAGUUCCCCUACUUUUCUGUAAGGUCACCGUCGUCAGCGUUUGCGUAUGUAUGUAAGGGCACUUUUAAUUUAAGAUGCCGGAAUUUAGUUUGCUUGAUAUUUAUAGAAAAUAAUCGAGUUCCAAAAGGAAUUAAACCUUUCAGUGCCCCUUUUGGACUGCAGGAGUAGCCUUGGUCGUUUUUGUGUAUUGUCCGAAUUGAACUGUGAAGUGUUGUUGUGUACGUUGUGUUCUUGGGAAAGUUCCGCAUUUUCCAAAUAUGCGCGUAGCGUAUCUCAGCGUGUGUGUGUGUGUGUGUGUGUGUGUGUGUGUGUGUGUGUGUGUGUGUGUGUGUGUAUAUAUAUAUGUCAGUGUCAUCUACCGGCGGCAACUUUCGUACGUGUAGGCGUGUGGCGAAUAUACGUGCGGUUGCCGGCGCUAGCUGUUGUGCUGCCUGCCGAGAAUCCGUACAAAUACCUUAAACCUCACGUAUACAUCCGUACAAGGGUACGGUACUCGUAGCCGGUGCCCCAUUCUACACGUACACUCGUACGUAUAUAUCACCACUCGCGUGCAGGUGAUGCGCUGUCGCGUGCUGCAAGUGUGACGGAAUGGUCCAUUGUUCGCCUGGCCUACUACUCCUAUAGAGAACCCUCGACGCAAGGCUCAUACAGGCCGGCGUACCCCACUGCUGCUGCACCACGUACGGAUGAAACGUGUGGCCAGCUGCAACGCUCGCUCUCGGUGCUCUAGGAGCCCUGUACGUACGGGCCGAUUAAUUUGUGUACGUGGUGCGCUGUUCGGGGCCUGUCUUUCUUAAAAAAAAGAAAGAAAGAAAGGAAACGAACUGUUCGGGUCCUGUCACGUAUGAAUGAACUAAAGUGGGCACAGGGUUUCGUAGAUUCCGUGCGAAUCGAUCAAGUACCGGGAUACAGAUUGUAAAUGCGGCGGCACUGUAGAUGCAUAUGCCCGACGACCUUGGUUCCUUGUGUGACGGAGCUUAGCGAGAUGAGAGACUGUUGAGAUGGAACAGGUGCGAGUAGCUUUGCACAUGUACCUUCAGGAAGGUAGGGAGCACAAUUAUUUGUGUGUAAUCCACUUUAGCUGAUGCUUAGAUGUGGGGGAGCCUCGAGCUUAAUUGGAUGAAGCAUGAGAGCUAGCAGCCAGUGCCGUGACACAGUGAGAAAUAACGGUGGUCCUCGUGUACCCACCAUGCCGUAUAGUCCGUCGUUUGUCUUGAGCAUUCUUUGUUCAUAUAUAUGCACAGCACGCGCAUAGUGCGUCGACAGCAUUAUACUGGUUACUAUUUAUUUGCAUUGCCACGGCUUGAUUAUUGUUAUGCCACGCACUUACUGAUCACAAAUGUAAAUCUGUCUUUGUAUGUAUGUUUCAUUUUGUCGUUUAUCAAGAGAUUUCGUCUCGACUUUGAGCUUCUAUAUGUAAUAAAGAAAUUAGAUAAAUUUACAGUACGUAAGUGUUGCUGUGUUGAUGCUAGUAGAUUUGUUAUGAAUGAAAUUAAUACCAC